ensembl:snRNA U6 U6 spliceosomal RNA
GUGCUCGCUUCCAGCACAUAUGCUAAAAUUGGAGUGAUACAGGGAAGAUUAGGAUUAGCAAGGCCCCUGCCCAAGAAUGACAUGCAAAUUUGUGAAGCGGUCCAUACUUUU